ACUUGUUAUUUUUUCUUUCAAUUUUAAUUUCAAUCCAUUCUUACGUUUGUGUUGGGUCCUUUUUCCCAUGAAUGUCAGGUGGAGCAGCCCAGGUGAAUUCACACCCACAGUAGAUCUGUGUCACCCUAAAGAAAUGCAAGACUAAAAUAUAAGGGAUAAGAAAAAUAAAUUCCGAGGGAGAGAAGCAAACAGUAGUAGGUAGCCAAGGUGACAGGAAAAGAUGGCAGACUUAAGAUGUGAUCAAGAUGUAGCUGUUGCUGACCAGUUCCUGCAGCAGCACCACAUAGAAAUCUCAGAUCUGCAUUAGAGAUGGACAUCUAACUACAGACUGAAAAAUGAACAAAUUAAAAUCCUAAUUUUUGAUGAACACGAACCAAGAAAUGAUGUCCUUUCUAGAAUCUUGGGACUGUACAUAGAAUGGAAGAAUUAAAGGCUAUGAUUGAAAUGAGGAAAGCCAAACUGAGGCUACUGGGGGUGGACAAGUAGUAUAUUCCUGGUCCCUGUACAACAUUGCAUCCACCUCUAGUUCUAACUGAAGAAAUAGAGAAACAGGGUAAAGAAAAUGUCAGGCUUUUCUGCCCUUCCGCCAUCAGGAUAGAUGAU